CGCGGAAACUAAAUGAGCUUGUUUCGAUUAGUGACGAAUGCAUAUUUGCGAAGUGGGCAGUUGACAGGAAAGUAGUUCAAAUGAAUUUUUCGGACUAAUUUGAACGAUGUCAACCCAUGAAAAGCGGGUAAGCUCAAGAAUGAAGUCUACUGUGCACCUUUCAAAUACGCACAAGUUACAAAUUCUUAAACGACGUUUCAUCGUUAAGAAUAAGAUACCGAACUCCUUGAGCAUCAAAACCUUAUACGUACAAUUUAAAUACAUUGAUAAAUCUAUCACAAUGGCACAUCUUAAGGUAAACGUAAUCUAGGGGUUCCUGAAUUAUAAGUUAUCUGUACAAGUAGUCGAAAAAAUUUUUUUUUUUCAACACUGAAACUUUUAAAAUUACAUUAGUAAAAAUAUUGCUUCCAGGAGCUUGAGAUUUCAAAAGGUAGGUACGCUGAAGACUCAAGAGUGUACCUAACAGGAGGGAAAAGUGGCAAAACGCCUAUCACAAAAGCCCACGAGUAAACUAUCGAGAAAUUUAAUUUUGUAUCGACAACCCUGUCAUCGAA